UACGUAGGGUGCAAGCGUUGUCCGGAAUUAUUGGGCGUAAAGAGCUCGUAGGCGGCUUGUCGCGUCGUCCGUGAAAACCUGCAGCUCAACUGCAGGCUUGCGGUCGAUACGGGCAGGCUAGAGUUCGGUAGGGGAGACUGGAAUUCCUGGGGUAGCGGUGAAAUGCGCAGAUAUCAGGAGGAACACCGGUGGCGAAGGCGGGUCUCUGGGCCGAUACUGACGCUGAGGAGCGAAAGCGUGGGGAGCGAACAGG
rnacentral:rRNA from 1 species